CCUACGGGGUGCAGCAGUGGGGAAUAUUGCACAAUGGGCGCAAGCCUGAUGCAGCCAUGCCGCGUGUAUGAAGAAGGCCUUCGGGUUGUAAAGUACUUUCAGCGGGGAGGAAGGUGUUGUGGUUAAUAACCACAGCAAUUGACGUUACCCGCAGAAGAAGCACCGGCUAACUCCGUGCCAGCAGCCGCGGUAAUACGGAGGGUGCAAGCGUUAAUCGGAAUUACUGGGCGUAAAGCGCACGCAGGCGGUCUGUCAAGUCGGAUGUGAAAUCCCCGGGCUCAACCUGGGAACUGCAUUUGAAACUGGCAAGCUAGAGUCUCGUAGAGGGGGGUAGAAUUCCAGGUGUAGCGGUGAAAUGCGUAGAGAUCUGGAGGAAUACCGGUGGCGAAGGCGGCCCCCUGGACGAAGACUGACGCUCAGGUGCGAAAGCGUGGGGAGCAAACAGGAUUAGAUACCCCCGUAGUC
rnacentral:rRNA from 1 species